UGCCUGUCUCACUGGAAUCUUGUAAGGAUUAAAUGGUUACUGUUUUUAACGUAGUUGGAAGAGUUUGUGGUCCUGUGUUUGUUAAAUAUACACAAAUUAACUUCCCAGCUCACCCAUGCCUAGUAUUAUGCAAGGGGCUUCACAUCAAUUACCUUGUUUGGUCUUCACCACAGCCACAUGAGCUUGGAAUGACUAUUAUUAGGGAAAGUGGACCCAAGAAGGUCAAGUUCCUUGCCUGAGGUCACACAGCUAGUAAAAGGCAGAGCAAAGGUUGAAACUCAGGAUGGUCUGUCUCCAGGACCGGGGCUCUCCACCACUCGGGCCUGCCUAUUCCAGGGCUGGCAGCCUCUCUACAGAGGUGAAGCGUCUACUGGAUCACUUUUGACCAACAACACAUCAGCCGGCAGAGGAAGGAGGGGUGGGCCAAGAAGGGCCCCUUCCCUCUCAGGCCGGAGAGAUUCCUCUGACUAAUUUGCUGAGUGACUUCGAUGGCAAACUGCAGCCCUGUUCCCUCCAGCUGAGACUCCUCCGUCUUGCUCAUGACUGGGUCCCCUGGGCAGAGCCAGGUCCUGGCAGAGAGCAGAUAUCCAGUAAAUACCUCUUGGCCCUAAGAAUGACUGGGAACACUCAUGUAGCGAGAACACCUUCCUGUGUGUUAUCUCAUCUCAUCCUCACAGCAGCCCAGAGAGGUAGGUCUUUUAACCCCAUUUUACAGACGUGGAAACUGCGGCUCAGAGAGCGGAAGUGACUCGCCCAGGUCAUAAAACUCAAACUUUUGGGCUCCAAAGUUUUGGGGCUCCAAACUGACUAUAGUUCUGCAGCCUACAGAGAGCUCGCCCUGUUCCUUUUGUGAGGAUAGUGGGGGGCAGCAGGAACCCCAAGUUAUUGGAGGCCUCCCCUGGCCUCCUUUAACACAGAGGAGCUCCUGGGAUAUCAAUGGGGGUGGUGUUAUCAGCCAGCAGGGGGACAGAGCCUGGGGCUGCAGAGCUUCUGGUGGAGGUGGGGCAUCUCAGGGUUGCUGAUGGUCAUCCAUUCACGGAGCGAGUUCUUUCCCAGCCUCUGCUGGGUACCAGGGCUAGACAGGGCCAUGCUCUCAGGAGCUCUCGGGAGGUAGGCUAGAUGGGUCCAAGUCACUGUCCCAAGGCGGGGGCGUCAGAGUGCCGCCUCACUUGCAGGGAAUAGCAUGCUGUUUACGGGAGACAGUAUCAAGGAACCGCUUGGGACCCCCUGCCCCCAUGACUGCAGCCUUCAGAGCUGUCUGGGAUUGGGCGUGGCAGGGCAGCUCCUCCGAGUGCAUCCGUUGUGAGUGGUGAAAGUAUAUCCCCUCGCUUUGGGGUCACUGGUGGGCCCCUGUGGUUUUCCUUGUCAGCUUUGCUGUUUUUAGUCUUUGUUCACUGCUCUGUUAUUACCGACAUCUUAAAGGGUUUCCCCAUC
rnacentral:lncRNA from 1 species